GACGAACGCUGGCGGCGUGCCUAAUACAUGCAAGUAGAACGCUGAAGGAGGAGCUUGCUUCUCUGGAUGAGUUGCGAACGGGUGAGUAACGCGUAGGUAACCUGCCUGGUAGCGGGGGAUAACUAUUGGAAACGAUAGCUAAUACCGCAUAAUAGCAGUUAUUGCAUGAUAACUGUUUGAAAGGUGCAAAUGCAUCACUACCAGAUGGACCUGCGUUGUAUUAGCUAGUUGGUGGGGUAACGGCUCACCAAGGCGACGAUACAUAGCCGACCUGAGAGGGUGAUCGGCCACACUGGGACUGAGACACGGCCCAGACUCCUACGGGAGGCAGCAGUAGGGAAUCUUCGGCAAUGGACGGAAGUCUGACCGAGCAACGCCGCGUGAGUGAAGAAGGUUUUCGGAUCGUAAAGCUCUGUUGUAAGAGAAGAACGAGUGUGAGAGUGGAAAGUUCACACUGUGACGG
rnacentral:rRNA from 1 species